UACGUAGGGUGCAAGCGUUGUCCGGAAUUAUUGGGCGUAAAGGGCGCGUAGGCGGCGCGGAAAGUCGUCGGUGAAAGCUCGGGGCUCAACCCUGAGUCUGCCGGUGAUACUCCCGCGCUCGAGCUCACUAGAGGCAGAUGGAAUUCCGGGUGUAGCGGUGGAAUGCGUAGAGAUCCGGAAGAACACCGGUGGCGAAGGCGGUCUGCUGGGGUGAGGCUGACGCUGAUGCGCGACAGCGUGGGGAGCAAACAGG
rnacentral:rRNA from 1 species